GCGUAAAGCGAGCGCAGACGGUUUAUUAAGUCUGAUGUGAAAGCCCGGAGCUCAACUCCCGGAAUGGCAUUGGAAACUGGUUAACUUGAGUGCAGUAGAGGUAAGUGGAACUCCAUGUGUAGCGGUGGAAUGCGUAGAUAUAUGGAAGAACACCAGUGGCGAAGGCGGCUUACUGGACUGCAACUGACGUUGAGGCUCGAAAGUGUGGGUAGCAAACAGGAUUAGAUACCCUGGUAGUCCACACCGUAAACGAUGAACACUAGGUGUUAGGAGGUUUCCGCCUCUUAGUGCCGAAGCUAACGCAUUAAGUGUUCCGCCUGGGGAGUACGACCGCAAGGUUGAAACUCAAAGGAAUUGACGGGGACCCGCACAAGCGGUGGAGCAUGUGGUUUAAUUCGAAGCAACGCGAAGAACCUUACCAGGUCUUGACAUCCUUUGAAGCUUUUAGAGAUAGAAGUGUUCUCUUCGGAGACAAAGUGACAGGUGGUGCAUGGUCGUCGUCAGCUCGUGUCGUGAGAUGUUGGGUUAAGUCCCGCAACGAGCGCAACCCUUAUUGUUAGUUGCCAGCAUUCAGAUGGGCACUCUAGCGAGACUGCCGGUGACAAACCGGAGGAAGGCGGGGACGACGUCAGAUCAUCAUGCCCCUUAUGACCUGGGCUACACACGUGCUACAAUGGCGUAUACAACGAGUUGCCAACCCGCGAGGGUGAGCUAAUCUCUUAAAGUACGUCUCAGUUCGGAUUGUAGUCUGCAACUCGACUACAUGAAGUCGGAAUCGCUAGUAAUCGCGGAUCAGCACGCCGCGGUGAAUACGUUCCCGGGUCUUGUACACACCGCCCGUCACACCAUGGGAGUUUGUAAUGCCCAAAGCCGGUGGCCUAACCUUUUAGGAAGGAGCCGUCUAAGGCAGGACAGAUGACUGGGGUGAAGUCG
rnacentral:rRNA from 1 species